rnacentral:rRNA from 1 species
CCAUGCAAGUCGAACGAUGAACCGGUGCUUGCACUGGGGAUUAGUGGCGAACGGGUGAGUAACACGUGAGUAACCUGCCCUUAACUCUGGGAUAAGCCUUGGAAACGAGGUCUAAUACUGGAUAUUGACUUUUCCUCGCAUGGGGAUUGGUUGAAAGAUUUAUUGGUUUUGGAUGGACUCGCGGCCUAUCAGCUUGUUGGUGAGGUAAUGGCUCACCAAGGCGACGACGGGUAGCCGGCCUGAGAGGGUGACCGGCCACACUGGGACUGAGACACGGCCCAGACUCCUACGGGAGGCAGCAGUGGGGAAUAUUGCACAAUGGGCGAAAGCCUGAUGCAGCGACGCCGCGUGAGGGAUGACGGCCUUCGGGUUGUAAACCUCUUUCAGUAGGGAACAAGGCCAGACGUUGUCUGGUUGAGGGUACUUGCAGAAGAAGCGCCGGCUAACUACGUGCCAGCAGCCGCGGUAAUACGUAGGGCGCAAGCGUUAUCCGGAAUUAUUGGGCGUAAAGAGCUCGUAGGCGGUUUGUCGCGUCUGCCGUGAAAGUCCGGGGCUCAACUCCGGAUCUGCGGUGGGUACGGGCAGACUAGAGUGAUGUAGGGGAGACUGGAAUUCCUGGUGUAGCGGUGAAAUGCGCAGAUAUCAGGAGGAACACCGAUGGCGAAGGCAGGUCUCUGGGCAUUAACUGACGCUGAGGAGCGAAAGCAUGGGGAGCGAACAGGAUUAGAUACCCUGGUAGUCCAUGCCGUAAACGUUGGGCACUAGGUGUGGGGGACAUUCCACGUUUUCCGCGCCGUAGCUAACGCAUUAAGUGCCCCGCCUGGGGAGUACGGCCGCAAGGCUAAAACUCAAAGGAAUUGACGGGGGCCCGCACAAGCGGCGGAGCAUGCGGAUUAAUUCGAUGCAACGCGAAGAACCUUACCAAGGCUUGACAUGAACUGGAAACGCUUGGAAACAAGUGCCCGCUUGCGGCCGGUUACAGGUGGUGAUGGUUGC